UUGCUUUAGGAUGGGGCAUGAACCUCGAACUAGGGAGCUGCACAGAGGUCAUGGUUGGAACCCAGGUCCUUCCCUCAGAGAGUGAAGACAGAGACCACUCCCCAGAGUCUCUGCUUCCUGGGCAAAUAUACCCUACAACUUCUCAGGAAGACAGUGUUCGGCUGGACCACAAUCAUUCUUCAAUGGGCUGUGAGUCAUCUAUUGCAAGCCAUGCUCCACCUCAGAAACAAGAAUUAGCAUCUAUAAGUAUUUAUGGAGAAAAAAGAAACCACACCUGGAAGAUGUGUGAGAUUCCCUUAAACUUUAUUGUUCUCGGAAAAAACUGAUCAUGAACUGCGGCGGCCGGCCACCAGGAGGAGCUGCGACUCUUCAGAAUUGCAAGUUCUGUUUGGAAAAGAAAGCUUUGAAAAGCAUUUUCUACUUUGGGGAGUCUCGGUGACAUCCAGAAAACACAAUCAAAGAAAGGUUUGAGAGGUUGCAGCGUGACUUUCCACGGGGAGCCCAUUUCCAUUAACUUUAUAUAGAGAGGGCAGAGACAGACCAAAUGGAUUCCAUUCAAGCCCAAUGUGGUGGACCUGUGAGUUUAUUGGGGUUACUCUCAGGAAUAUGGAGUACUUACUGGCUGCUACAUUACUGAGACAUCCCCUCUCAGCAGGUCCUUGCUGCUCAUAUAUCCUCAGGGUGGAGCCUUGAGAGUUUUCCCCCUCAGACCCGUGUGAACAUCAAUAGAUUCAGUCUCGUGCGAGUGAUCCCAGCGGUUCAGCUUUAAAGUAACAAUAAAGACACAGAGCACAGCA
rnacentral:lncRNA from 1 species